AUGUUUUUCUGUGUACAGCAAAGAGCUUCUUAUAUAAACCUUUAUGUUCUUCUGUACAAUUUCUGUUUACAGUCUGCAGUCCAUGAGGACCUGCUGAUGUCCAGUGUUGCUGGCGGGAGAGACUUGACCUCUGAAGCAGCUGGUCACAAACCCUGGCCCCAGAUCAGGACCCUGGAUCAGGAGCCGUUGCUCUUCCUUCCCGAGUCGCUACAAGGAUCGAACCACAAGGGACAGAGACUCCACCACAACACAGAACACAACCAGUGGACAGGUGGACUGAACAACCUCAAUCCUGGUGGUCAUCAGAGAGACGGAGGCUCCAGUCAGGGACCCAGUCUGCAGCCCAGACCCUUCUCUUCACAGUCUCAGUGCAGGGAUGAAGCAGGGCCUGGGGCUGAUAGAGAUAGACCCUCAUGUUCCUAUGAUACAAACACCACAGUAUCCAUGAUGAACAGAGCAGGUCACCCUGGGCUUCAGCCUCCACAGAGACUGGUGGGAGACUCACCUGGUGGUAGUCUAUCAGCAAGUCUGUCUUCUCCUUCAGGAUCUCAUCUAAUGUCUGGUGACUGGGUUCAUAGAAAGCCUGGGUCUAGCCUUCCUCAGUUACCUCAUGGCUACCCCACCAAUACAGACAGGGUCAGGAUGGGUGUUCAUCACAAGAGGUACCUAGCUUAUAACACAGCACACAAUCCCAACAACACCCAAAUGAUGGCUAGAGGUCAAGGAAGGAGCUCAAAGACUAACCACCUGAGUGCGGUGGCUCCUGCUUCUUCUACCUCCUCUGGUGUCAUUGGGUCACAAUAUGGGAGGCCGAGCAUUAGGACAGACGCUGACAAGCCGUACGCCUGCCCCACAUGUGGGAAGCGUUUUGCUAAGGUGAACUAUGUGAAGCAGCACCAGACUGUUCACACCAAGGAGAGGCCCUUCAUGUGUAAGCUGUGUUACAAGAGCUUUUCCUUCCUUAGUAACCUCAUCAGACAUAGAAGUGUCCACAAUGGGGAGAAAUCAUAG
rnacentral:lncRNA from 8 species